rnacentral:tRNA from 1 species
GCGGCGGUCGUCUAGCCUGGAUCAGGACGCCGGCCUUCCACGCCGGAGAUCCCGGGUUCGAAUCCCGGCCGCCGCACCA